CCUACGGGUGGCAGCAGUGAGGAAUAUUGGUCAAUGGACGAGAGUCUGAACCAGCCAAGUAGCGUGAAGGAUGACUGCCCUAUGGGUUGUAAACUUCUUUUAUAUGGGAAUAAAAUGUUCCACGUGUGGCUUUUUGUAUGUACCAUAUGAAUAAGGAUCGGCUAACUCCGUGCCAGCAGCCGCGGUAAUACGGAGGAUCCGAGCGUUAGCCGGAUUUAUUGGGUUUAAAGGGAGCGUAGGUGGAUUGUUAAGUCAGUUGUGAAAGUUUGCGGCUCAACCGUAAAAUUGCAGUUGAAACUGGCAGUCUUGAGUACAGUAGAGGUGGGCGGAAUUCGUGGUGUAGCGGUGAAAUGCUUAGAUAUCACGAAGAACUCCGAUUGCGAAGGCAGCUCACUGGACUGCAACUGACACUGAGGCUCGAAAGUGUGGGUAUCAAACAGGAUUAGAUACCCGUGUAGUC
rnacentral:rRNA from 1 species